CUCUUAUUCAGAGCAGUGGAGGUACAAAGGACCUGUGAAGCUGCGGCAACCCCCGGUUCGGGAAGGUGCCGACCUGAGCGAGUAAUCGAACAAUAAGAG
rnacentral:ncRNA from 19 species